rnacentral:lncRNA from 1 species
UUUCUGCUGAGAAAAUAGAACUAGUGCUUUUUAAUUAAAUGAAGCCAAGUGGGAUUUGCAUAAAGUGAAUGUUUACCGUGAAGAUAAAGUGUUCCUGACAUACUAGUUUGAAUUCCUGAGUUCAUUUCCUUGCCGAUUGUGAUAAUCCAGCUUAGUCUUGUAUCAUUUUUUUAAACGUGAGUUUUCCUAGUAAACUUAAUUUAUAGAAGUGGAUGGUUACAUUUAAUAUGGAAAUAACGAACUGUUGAAGUGUUUCUCAAGCAUAUUAUAUUCAGUGUGUGCUGUAAAAUUGAAAUAAAUGAUAAUGUAAUCAUGAAUUCAUGUUUUAAAACUGUUCACUCACUGGUAAAGAAAACUCCAGUGUUAGUAAAGGAAAACUGUGAAAUGUAUCUUCAACAACUUGGGGUUGUAUAGAGGUGAGGUGUAUGCAUGAAAAUAUGUCAUGUACUGAAAAAUUAUACUUAACUGCAGCUUCAGUAUAAAUGAUGUGUAUGGUUACAAAAAGCGUUUUGUUCUUAUUAAUCUUAUUUAGAUAAAGGAGAUAGGACAGGUAAUGGGAUGAAUAGCGCUUGGAUGUCCACCCAGGGAAAUAGAGGUUUUCCCUAGGAUGUACAUCUAAAGCAAACAUGACUACAAACAUGACACCAUGCCUCAAGGCAUCAGGCAACACAAGCAACACACCAGAACUAGGAAUUCAUUCUUCUCCAAUUUUACAAGUGUCACCCAAGAAUCCAGAUAUAUAACCACAAAACUAACCCUUGAUGGACAUUUUCCCCUUAUGUUAUAUGGAAGAAGCUUUGCCAUCGAAUCUCUAUUCCCUGGAUCUAGAUAGAGAUUAAUUAUCCUAAUAUGAGUGAGUGACUCAAUGAAGCUUUCUUGAAAACCAACUAUAUAAGUAUAACCAUAACUAUGCCUGCAUUUCCUCUUUCAGUUUAUAAAAAGCUUUCCUAUCUGUUAUGGUAUUUUUUCCUCACAACAACUCUGUAAAUUAGAUGGGCAUUCAGACAGGAAAUGUAAAUUUUUCUGACUUAAAUUUAAGUACUGGAAGCUGAAAGCCAAAAAGAAAAAAAUAGAGCUUGUAACUCUG